CACUACAGCUUGCGAGCAAGUGAGUUAAAAAACGCUAGCGGUUGAUAAAUGGUGCUCGUGCUUCGCACUCAAAGUGACAGAGGAAAAUUCAAUGUUAAACAUUUGGAUGAACGUUUUAAACACUCACUCUGGAUUCACGUAGUAAACGAGACCUGAAUUGUGAUCGCCAACGUACAGAUUCGAACAUCGAUCGAUUACCAUUCCCGACGGAUAAUUUGUGGUUGCUGUUUCACAGGGAAACUCAAAUACCGAUUUCAAAUUUUCUAAACGAAAUCACAAAAUUUAGAAUGGAAUGGAGUAGAGUAGGAAAGAAUCAAAAUUACUCAAAGAUUUAUCAUUUGGAUUCCUGCGCGUUGUGUGUACCUUAGCCGUACAAUCAUCAGCAAUGUAGCAUCUCUUUGCUGUUGCAUCGAAAACUAUUCCAUUCGAAUACGUUCGGUCCGGUGAGCGACGAGCGGUCGGUUUAUCAUUUCUCUGUCUGUCAAACAAGAAACAUUUAAUCAUUUUAGUACAGACUUUAGUCACCAGAGGACAAACGUCAAAGUUUUUUUUUCAUACGUGCACAUUAUUCUUCAAAAAUUCCUAUCAAUUAAACAAGUAAACAACAAUUCUUCGAUGGAUCGUGCGAAACCUCAAUGUUCAAAUGAAGGGUGCAAAAACGAUUUUGUAGUCGAUAUCUUUGGGUCACUCGAGGGUCACCCCGAUUGUAAGGAUUGGAUAGAGUUUUUGAAAGAUUCGUCUGUAUAUUGUUAAAUUGUUUUUAUAGAAAGAAGGUGAUGGUAAAUGGUUUUGCCUAUAUUGCAGUAUUAAAUUGAGUGACAAGUUCAAAGCACAAAGAACCCGAAAUGAAGCUGAUUCAUCUGGAAUUCAAAAUGAGUUUGCCGCACUUCAACUAAAUAAUUAGCAUCAUUCAGGUUCCUAUACAAAAGCCGAACGACGAAGACGAAGGCGAAGAAGGUCCAUUUGAAGUCGAGGAUUCUUCGUCGUCAUCAUCAUCAACAGGCACAUUAGUGACAGUGGGAUCAUUGGAAUCGGAAAAUUCAGCGCAAUCAUCGAGUUCAUCAACUCAAAAUCAAGAUAUUUGGGUACGUAAUAAUAUUGCGCCACUGAAUUUAUCAGAGCCUGACAGUUCCAACGAUGCAUGAGAAGUCGAGAAAACAACGUAAAAAAUCCAAUCAUUCCAAAUUUGCCACAUUUUUUGUAAAUAAAUAAGAGAACAAGUAUACUCUCAAUUCUGAUUUAAA